rnacentral:rRNA from 1 species
UACGUAGGGAGCAAGCGUGGUCCGGAAUCAUUGGGCGUAAAGCGCGCGUAGGCGGCCCUGUAAGUCCGUUGUGAAAGUCAAAGGCUCAACCUUUGAAAGCCGAUGGAUACUGCAGGGCUAGAGUCCGGAAGAGGCGAGUGGAAUUCCUGGUGUAGCGGUGGAAUGCGCAGAUAUCAGGAGGAACACCAAUAGCGAAGGCAGCUCGCUGGGACGGUACUGACGCUAAGGCGCGAAAGCGUGGGGAGCGAACAGG